GCCUUUUUAACUCAGUGGUAGAGUAUUUGCAUGGUAAGCAAAAAGUCGCCGGUUCAACUCCGGUAAAAGGCU
rnacentral:tRNA from 1 species